CUCUCUCUCCAGCAGCGUGUUAUUUCUGCUCUUUUCAGUAUUUAAAUUUUUUGCUUCUGUUCUGAACUUGAACACCAGAAGCUGGUGCCGAGUUGGAUUAUUGAAACUGUGGGAGCUACUGGACUUUGUGGUUCUGGUUCUGCUGGUCUGGAUCAGAUCCUUGAAUCCCUCUGCUGAUCCUCAGGAGGAGAGCAGAUUCUGAAAUGAGUCUCUCCGAGGAGCCUAAGGUAGAGGAUGGAGCGAUGGGCCUUGAAAUUGAGAGGUAAGAGGAUGUCCUUGUGUUUGAGGAACUGAUUCUGUCACUGUCACUGUAUGGUCAGGGAGCUGUGA
rnacentral:lncRNA from 1 species